rnacentral:ncRNA from 2 species
UUCUUAUCCAGAGAGGUGGAGGGACUGGCCCUUUGAAACCUCGGCAGCGGGUUUUAUGUAUUUCGCAUAAAACACUGUGCCAAUUCCAGCAAAUGCAAUGUUUGAAAGAUGAGAA